AAAUCGCUGGAAGGGAAGCGAAUGGAGUCGCCAAUUCACCUGGUCAGAUUCAGCCGCUCGCUUACCACAACGCGCACGCAUUUUCGCGAUCUUCCCAGACGCAUCGUGUGCGACGUGGAAUGGGCGUGGCGCACUUCUGUCACGUGAACGUCAACGUCAGUUCACUGCGAGUCAAGCGGCCCCGAGGACGGUAGGUCCCGUUUUUGCGGGAUCGGCAAGCCUCUCGUGCCCGCGACUCCACGUGGACUGUGUCCUGUCGCAGCGCGGGCCUGCCUUUCGAGGACAGGCUGCAGUCUCGUCGAUCGACCGCUCAUGGCGUUAAACGGACGGCGAUGCCUGUGCGUUACAAGCGCUGCCGGUCGACUGGCGAGGGAAAUCGACACGACGCGCUGAGUACGUUGACCGCCAAGCGACUCCAUCCGACCCGUCUUGAAACACGGACCAAGGAGUCUAACAUGUGCGCGAGUCUCAGGGUGACCGAAACCCAUGGGCGUAAUGAAGGUAAAUGCGCUUUGUGCGCAGAGGUGAGAAGUUCGUUGCAGCUGCAUCACCGACCGACCUGUUCUACUCUUGGGAAGGUUUGAGUUAGAGCGCACCUGUUGGGACCCGAAAGAUGGUGAACUAUGCCUGAGUAGGGCGAAGCCAGCGG
rnacentral:rRNA from 1 species